CUGCACCUGGGGGGCCUGCACCUGGGGGACACUUGCCAGGAGCCGGGCUGGAACCCACAUCCCAGGCCCCAUUGCAGUGCCUGAAUUGUGGGUCAGUUGCUGUCAGUUGCUCCCACACAGGCACCCCAAGGCCACUCACUCACUGGGCACCUCACAGGAUUCUUUGGGACUCCAGGGGCCCCGAGCGCCCCAUCUCUGGAGCAGGGACUCCCCAGAGGCUGUGGGACAGCCAGCAGCAGCGUCCACGAACCAGGCAGAUGGGAAUGGCUCAAGGCCCCAAGUGCCCAGGUGGGUCUGAUGCCAGGAGGAUGUGGUUUAGCUCCAGGCCCUGCUGUCUCCUUCCAUGCCCGGGGUCAAUGGAUCCUUAUCUGGAGAGAUCUUAUCUGUGUGUCCUUGAUGGACUCUGGAGCCGGCUCCUGGAGAAGGCACGGGCAGUGUGCUAGGAAGCUGGACACAGAAGGUCGAAGCAGAACAGGGAAGGGAGGGCAUCCUCCAUGGCCCAAGGGGCAAGGCUUUGAACCUCACUUACACAGACUGGCUGGGAGCUUCCUAGCAGCCAAGGCAAAGAGGAAAGAAGUUGAAGGAAGGUGGAGGCGGUGUAAGAGACCGGACUGAGGGAUGGACCCCAGGACGCUCCCCGGAAGUUGUCUGAGUCGUCCUUGGAACAUAACAGGACUCAGUGUACUCACUGAACAAAGCACUCAUUGCUGCAUGUUUAAGGCCCCUCAUUGAAAUGAAUCCCAGACUGGUUCCCAGUCUCCUGGGCUUUCACCUUGCCCCACGGACGGCGUGCUGGCUCUUCCCUGUCACCCCACAUUGUGACCGGCUGUGCUCCACAUGGCACAAACUUAUUCCCUAAUUGACCCAUGGGGUCAGCUGGAGCUGUAGGGCUGCCCACAGGGGCUGCAGGGAAUGAUGGCCGUCCCAGGACCCCUAGGGAGGGUCGUCCCGGGACCCCUGCGGCUCAGGUCCACCCAGCACUUUCUGAAAGAGCAGUCGCCUCUGGGGGGCAGCACAGUGUCACCAGGAAAAGCCGGACAUGGCUUCCGGGCCCUGGGCUUGUAUCCAGGAGCCAGCCCCUGCCGCGCCAGCGGGGGAGUGACGGGGCCAAGUCACUUCCGCCCCAAGCCUCACUGUCCCCCUCCACCCCCAUCAAGUGGGUCUAAGAGUGUUCCGAGCCAGGCUCCCGGUGAGGUGGGGGUGGGGACGGCGGGACAGACGGGGAGCGUCCUGCUCCUGGCCCCUUUUCACCUCUGAUGCUGAAGUUAAACAUUCGACAGGCUAUGACAAAAUGAAGCAACCGUUUAAAAAUAGGAGAGAAUGUUCUGUGAUUUCCGGCUGGGUCACUCUUGGCGGGCUGUGGCAGGGAGGGGCAGGGCAGGGCUGAGCGUGGCUCGGGAAG